rnacentral:rRNA from 1 species
GACGACGCUGGCGGCGUGCCUAAUACAUGCAAGUCGAACGAGUGGCGGACGGGUGAGUAACACGUGGGAACCUACCCAUCAGAGGGGGAUAACUUCGGGAAACCGGAGCUAAUACCGGAUACUUAUAGAUGGAUCCGCGCUGCAUUAGCUAGUAGGUGGGGUAAAGGCUCACCUAGGCGACGAUCUCUAGCUGGUCUGAGAGGAUGAUCAGCCACACUGGGACUGAGACACGGCCCAGACUCCUACGGGAGGCAGCAGUGGGGAAUAUUGCACAAUGGGCGCAAGCCUGAUGCAGCCAUGCCGCGUGUAUGAAGAAGGCCUUAGGGUUGUAAAGUACUUUCAGCGGGGAGGCGUUACCCGCAGAAGAAGCACCGGCUAACUCCGUGCCAGCAGCCGCGGUAAUUC